GAUGAACGCUGGCGGCGUGCCUAAUACAUGCAAGUCGAGCGAACGGACGAGAAGCUUGCUUUUCUGAUGUUAGCGGCGGACGGGUGAGUAACACGUGGAUAACCUACCUAUAAGACUGGGGUAACUUCGGGAAACCGGAGCUAAUACCGGAUAAUAUUUUGAACCGCAUGGUUCAAAAGUGAAAGACGGUCUUGCUGUCACUUAUAGAUGGAUCCGCGCUGCAUUAGCUAGUUGGUAAGGUAACGGCUUACCAAGGCAACGAUGCAUAGCCGACCUGAGAGAGUGGUCGGCCACACUGGAGCUGGGACACGGUCCAGACUCCUACGGGAGGCAGCAGUAGGGUAUCUUCCGCAGUGGGCGAAAGCCUGACGGAGCAACGCCGCGUGAGUGAUGAAGGUCUUCGGAGCGUAAAACUCUGUUAUUAGGGAAGAACAUAUGUGGAAGUAACUGUGCACAUCUUGACGGUACCUGAUCAGAAAGCAACGGCUAACUACGUG
rnacentral:rRNA from 1 species